UACGUAGGGUGCGAGCGUUGUCCGGAAUUAUUGGGCGUAAAGAGCUCGUAGGCGGUUUGUCACGUCUGCUGUGAAAUCCCGAGGCUCAACCUCGGGCCUGCAGUGGGUACGGGCAGACUGGAGUGCGGUAGGGGAGAAUGGAAUUCCUGGUGUAGCGGUGGAAUGCGCAGAUAUCAGGAGGAACACCGAUGGCGAAGGCAGUUCUCUGGGCCGUAACUGACGCUGAGACGCGAAAGCGUGGGGAGCAAACAGG
rnacentral:rRNA from 1 species